AGUGAACGCUGGCGGUAGGCCUGACACAUGCAAGUCGAACGGCAGCACAGGAGAGCUUGCUCUCUGGGUGGCGAGUGCGGACGGGUGAGGAAUAUAUCGGAAUCUACUCUGUCGUGGGGGAUAACGUAGGGAAACUUACGCUAAUACCGCAUACGACCUACGGGUGAAAGCAGGGGACCUUCGGGCCUUGCGCGAUUGAAUGAGCUGAUGUCGGAUUAGCUAGUUGGCGGGGUAAAGGCCCACCAAGGCGACGAUCCGUAGCUGGUCUGAGAGGAUGAUCAGCCACACUGGACCUGAGAGACGGUCCAGACUACUACGGGAGGCAGCAGUGGGGAAUAUUGGACGAUGGGCGCAAGCCUGAUCCAGCCAUACCGCGUGGGUGAAGAAGGCCUUCGGGUUGUAAAGCCCUUUUGUUGGGAAAGAAAUCCAGCUGGCUAAUACCCGGUUGGGAUGACGGUACCCAAAGAAUAAGCACCGGCUAACUUCGUGCCAGCCGCCGCAGUAA
rnacentral:rRNA from 1 species